CAGUCCUUGAACGGAAAACUCUUCAUUGUAAACACGUUUUGGCCUGCAAACUUUCGUCUUCCUUAAAUAUGACGAAAGAAAACCUUAUUGAGGACGACCAAUUUUCUAUUAUACUGGGCUAUUAAUGAAGAC